ACGGGAGGCAGCAGUGGGGAAUAUUGGACAAUGGGCGCAAGCCUGAUCCAGCGACGCCGCGUGAGUGAAGAAGUAUUUCGGUAUGUAAAGCUCUAUCAGCAGGGAAGAUAAUGACGGUACCUGACUAAGAAGCCCCGGCUAACUACGUGCCAGCAGCCGCGGUAAUACGUAGGGGGCAAGCGUUAUCCGGAUUUACUGGGUGUAAAGGGAGCGUAGACGGAAGGCCAAGUCUGAUGUGAAAACCCAGGGCUCAACCCUGGGACUGCAUUGGAAACUGGUCAUCUAGAGUGCAGGAGGGGUAAGCGGAAUUCCUAGUGUAGCGGUGAAAUGCGUAGAUAUUAGGAGGAACACCAGUGGCGAAGGCGGCUUACUGGACUGUAACUGACGUUGAGGCUCGAAAGCGUGGGGAGCAAACAGGAUUAGAUACCCUGGUA
rnacentral:rRNA from 1 species